rnacentral:lncRNA from 1 species
UUAAUUGCUGAGGCACUCUAUUCUGGCACUCGUUUGGCAGGACAGAGCGGGACCAGCGUACGCACAGCUAGGUCCCUAGCCUGGCUACGGUCUGCAACUGGUUCUACCACAGCAGCCUGCUCAGGGAGAAAGAGGAGAAGAAAAAUUAACUGGUCUCAGACUAACCCAAAUACCGAAGAGAUUUGGACCGGCUUUAUAAAUUAAACAGUACACGAUGACAGCUUCGGGGCGAAACAGAACAUAGUUGGAACCAAAAGCGUUCUGGAUUUGCAUCAUAACAGUCGGAACCCUUUUCUUGCCCUUCCCUUUGUCAUUUAUAGUUCAUCCAUUUACUUAAACCUCAAGCCUGGUGGGAGGAAAAGAGAAAAAAUCAGGAAUCCCAUGUGGACUCUGAAUCUCUGCCAGUAACAGGUGACCCCAAGAACUACCCGCUGAAAGCCUCUGUCCCCACUGAAAUGUCACCUUCUUCAUCUUUGGCAAUGUCCUGCUCCAUGUGCAGCUUCUGCCUCCCUCAGUGCCGUGGCCAUGGCUCCACCAGAAUCACACUGGUGGAUGAUUUAUUUGUGGAGAGAGAGACUUCCUAUAUGACUAUUGAGUAUCAAUUCUUUGAUCAGUGCAGAGCAGAUUUAAGGAAGUAAAUUCCACCUAAGAUUGUGAGUGGGAGAUAGAAAAGUACAAAGCAGCCAUCUUUUCUCUUUCAUCAGAAAGACAACACAUAAAAACCAGGCACAAUACUUUAAAGGGAAUGCUAGCAAAACUUCAUGUAUUUCUACUCUAAAAGUACAUUUCUACCAUCUUUGAAUGUACACUCUACCUGUGAUAUUCCACAGUUUGCUCUUCUAAACUGUAUUAAGCAGCUUAUAUAUGUUUAAGCUUUUGCUUUCAGAAAUGAAUUAAUGUAAUUAUUUGAAUGUUGAAUUAAAAAUAAAUUUAUUUGGAAACUCA